UUCCUUCAGCUAUGGAUGUGCUUUUGUAGAUAGGAUACUCAUCAUCUGCUAGAUCAAGAUUUGUGGAAGACUUGGGCCUUACUGUUGCAGCAGUAAGUACUAGAAUUUUCAGAUUUUUUGUUUCUUUUGUUCUUUUGCAUUUGAUGGACUUUCUUGUGAUCGUUUUAGUACUCAAUUUUCGGUUUAACAAUGAUGAUUGGAGGAAUGAUUGGUGCAUUAGUAAAUGGGACGCUAAAAGAGAUGUAGUGGUUAUUGUCUAAUAAUCCAGGUUGUCGGUUUUUACCACUUUCAAAGAAAUUCAUUUCCAUUAUCAAGCCAAGGAAGUCAUGCACACCACCUGUUUGAUGAAAGUUCCAGCUCUUCGAGAUAUUUACAAGACC